CUUUUCCGGGCUUAAACUUUCAAAACGAUGUAGCUUACAGUUUACUUAUCCCGUUUCCUGCUUGAAGUUUUAAGACUGUCGAGUGAACGAAAAUUACUUGUGAUCAGAACAGUCGUUCCGUUCCUGACUCGCACCCUCGCACUUCUCGGCGCCUCAAAUGAGUCAUCAUCCUUGAACCGAACCGAUGUGCUGGGAGCUCUGAGAAGGUGGGGUUGUGAUCUCUAGUGCAUCCCUUCACUUAUCAAAGGCCUGACACAAAGAAGUUGUUCCUCCUGGUUUAUCUGCACAUGAAUGAGGGACCACCUGGUCCUCAAGCUGCUGCCUUGCCAUGAGUCCUUUCCACCCGGCUGCCCGUCUCCACCCCUCCUACCGG